rnacentral:tRNA from 1 species
GGGCCGGUCGUCCAGCCUGGUUAGGACAUCCGCCUUACACGCGGAAGGUCGCCGGUUCAAAUCCGGCCCGGCCCACCA